GAUGAACGCUGGCGGCGUGCUUAACACAUGCAAGUCGAACGAAGCACCUUGAUUUGAUUCUUCGGAUGAAGAUCUUGGUGACUGAGUGGCGGACGGGUGAGUAACGCGUGGGUAACCUGCCUCAUACAGGGGGAUAACAGUUAGAAAUGACUGCUAAUACCGCAUAAGACCACAGCACCGCAUGGUGCUGGGGUAAAAACUCCGGUGGUAUGAGAUGGACCCGCGUCUGAUUAGGUGGUUGGUGGGGUAACGGCCUACCAAGCCGACGAUCAGUAGCCGACCUGAGAGGGUGACCGGCCACAUUGGGACCGAGACACGGCCCAAACUCCUACGGGAGGCAGCAGUGGGGAAUAUUGCACAAUGGGGGAAACCCUGAUGCAGCGACGCCGCGUGAGCGAUGAAGUAUUUCGGUAUGUAAAGCUCUAUCAGCAGGGAAGAAAAUGACGGUACCUGACUAAGAAGCACCGGCUAAAUACGUGCCAGCCGCCGCUGUAAUAC
rnacentral:rRNA from 1 species